AUAAUUGAAUGUGUCAACUGACGUGACAAAAUUUCAGGAAAUUGUUUACACUCUUCUUUCUGAUACGAAGAAUGCUGUUUUGUUUGUCGCAACAAAUCAAAAUAUCUAAUUGAUGAGUAAACUUCGCGGAGGUGGAAAAAGGCCAGAAUAUGGUAUUUCUGGAUUUUACUCCGUACAUUCAUCUGCGCGUGUGAUAUCUUGUUAAUUCAAAAAGUAUAUAAACAUUCUGCAUAAUCUGGAAAAAUCGAUAUAAAUGCCACAUUGGGGUUAAUUGAUUUCAGGUCGUUCUGCAGUCUAUAAAAGGAAGAGUCUACUCACACAGGGUUUACGUUUUUCAACUGCAACUAUUUUGAGAGGAAAGAAUAUGAAAUCAACAGUACUGUUAAUCGUUUUGGUAUUCAUCGUAGUCUACCCCCAAGACAUAAGCGGAAGAAAUUUGCAACUGAACCACAGAGAACUUCCAAGUUUCAAGAAAUCGCCGGUGAACUAUGAUGUGAGAACCUGGAAAGUUGAUCCGGAAGAUAUUCCUCAUAUCCGUGUAGCCAGAGCGACAAGACGGAGAUUUAACAAUGGUUUCGGUUCAAGGUUCCGUAUAAAUAACAAUGAUUUACCUUCUAGUGUGAAUUAUCAAAAUAGUUACGACAGAUUUCCCACCGUGUUUUGAAGGAUUUGUGAAUUAAAAACUUUAUACUUUGUACUCGAUACAGGGACUUUGGAAUACUGCCAUCGAUGUUAUUCCGCUUUAAAACACAACAUAAUUUAAUUUCUAAUUGUAAAUAAAUAAAGCAUUCAUAUCUUCAAUCGUGUGGCUUUCCAAAAAUGGUUUAAGUAAUUCUUCAACUGGCGAUCUUUGACCAAAACUGAAAAAAAUGUUCAUGACAGUUUAUUUAUUUCUGUUCGAGAUGGCCUGUAUGAAAUCCCGCUGACUGAUGAUAUUUUACAUAAAUUUGCUCAUUUUUUAUUAAGUUUUAAUGUGAUAUAUUUUAAGUUUUACUUUAGUUUUGUAAGCUUGUUAUUUGCAUUAAUAUUGUAAUAUAUUUUCUUAUUUGCUACUGUUAUUUUGACAAAUAAAGAGGUAAAGAGUAUAAGAAAGAAAUGA